AGCGGCUUGUCGCUCGCGCCACCGAGCGCGAGAGGAAAGUCCGGGCAACACAGAGCAUCGCAUUUCUUAACGGGAAGCUGGGGGCGACCUCAGGGUUAAGGUGACAGAAAAUAACCGCUUUCGGCUUUGGCCGAGAGUAAGGGUGAAAAGGUGGGGUAAGAGCCCACCGGGCGCCACGGCGACAUGGCGCGCCGCACUACCUGCGAGUUGCAAGGUCAAGUAUAUCGGCAUCUAAGGGCUGCUCGUCCAUUGUCGAGGGGUAGACUGCUAUACUGACGUGGCAACACGGCAGACAGAUAAAUGACAAGCGGCGUUUCCCACGGGCAACGGCCACAUAACCCGGCUUAUAACUCCACUGC
rnacentral:RNase_P_RNA from 1 species